GACGAACGCUGGCGGCGUGCUUAACACAUGCAAGUCGAACGAAGAGCGAUGGAAGCUUGCUUCUAUCAAUCUUAGUGGCGAACGGGUGAGUAACGCGUAAUCAACCUGCCCUUCAGAGGGGGACAACAGUUGGAAACGACUGCUAAUACCGCAUACGAUCUAAUCUCGGCAUCGAGGAUAGAUGAAAGGUGGCCUCUACAUGUAAGCUAUCACUGAAGGAGGGGAUUGCGUCUGAUUAGCUAGUUGGAGGGGGAACGGCCCACCAAGGCGAUGAUCAGUAGCCGGUCUGAGAGGAUGAACGGCCACAGUGGGACUGAGACACGGCCCAGACUCCUACGGGAGGCAGCAGUGGGGAAUCUUCCGCAAUGGACGAAAGUCUGACGGAGCAACGCCGCGUGAGUGAUGACGGCCUUCGGGUUGUAAGGCUCUGUUAAUCGGGACGAAAGGCCUUCUUGCGAAUAGUGAGAAGGAUUGACGGUACCGGAAUAGAAAGCCACGGCUAACUACGUG
rnacentral:rRNA from 1 species